rnacentral:rRNA from 1 species
GGCGAGCGCUGGCGGCGUGCUUAACACAUGCAAGUCGAACGGAAAGGCCUGCUUUCCCUUGUGGAUUGCGGGUACUCGAGUGGCGAACGGGUGAGUAACACGUGAGUGAUCUGCCCCCAACUUGGGUAUAAGCCUGGGAAACUGGGUCUAAUUCCCGAUAGGACUGCAGGGUGGUGCCUGUGGUGGAAAACGAUUUUCUAGUGGUUGGGGAUGAGCUCGCGGCCUAUCAGCUUGUUGGUGGGGUAAUGGCCUACCGAGGCGGCGACGGGUAGCCGGCCUGAGAGGGUGGACGGCCACAUUGGGACUGAGAUACGGCCCAGACUCCUACGGGAGGCAGCAGUGGGGAAUAUUGCACAAUGGGCGGAAGCCUGAUGCAGCGACGCCGCGUGGGGGAUGACGGCCUUCGGGUUGUAAACUCCUUUCGACCGCGAGGAAGCCACCUGGUUGGAAGGGUGGUGACGGUAGUGGUAGAAGAAGCACCGGCUAACUACGUG